UCGCUUCAGCAGCACAUAUACCAAUAUUGGAAUAAUAUUGCGAGGAUUAGCAUAGCCCCUGAGCAAGCAUGACACUCAAAUUUGUGAAGUGUUCCAUGUUUUU